AUUGAACGCUGGCGGCAGGCCUAACACAUGCAAGUCGAGCGAGCGGCGGACGGGUGAGUAAUGUAUGGGGACUGCCCGAUAGAGGGGGAUAACUACUGGAAACGGUAGCUAAUACCGCAUACUAUCGGAUAACCCAUAUGGGAUUAGCUAGUAGGUGAGGUAAUGGCUCACUUAGGGGACGAUCCCUAGCUGGUCUGAGAGGAUGAUCAGCCACACGGGGACUGGGACACGGCCCGGAGUCCUACGGAGGCAGCGGGGGGGAAUUUUGGACAAUGGGCGCAAGCCUGAUGCAGCCAUGCCGCGUGUAUGAAGAAGGCCCUAGGGUUGUAAAGUACUUUCAGUCGGGAGGCGGUACCGACAGAAGAAGCACCGGCUAACUCCGUGCCAGCAGCCGCGGUAAUAC
rnacentral:rRNA from 1 species